rnacentral:rRNA from 1 species
UACGUAGGUGGCAAGCGUUGUCCGGAAUUAUUGGGCGUAAAGCGCGCGCAGGCGGUCCUUUAAGUCUGAUGUGAAAGCCCACGGCUCAACCGUGGAGGGUCAUUGGAAACUGGGGGACUUGAGUGCAGGAGAGAAGAGUGGAAUUCCACGUGUAGCGGUGAAAUGCGUAGAGAUGUGGAGGAACACCAGUGGCGAAGGCGACUCUUUGGCCUGUAACUGACGCUGAGGCCCGAAAGCGUGGGUAGCAAACAGG